rnacentral:ncRNA from 1 species
GGCUGAAGUGGCCCACGAUCAUGCCACUGCACUCAGCCAGGGUGACAAAGUGAGACUGUCUAAAAAAAAAACUAAGGCGAGCUCAGGGAGGACAGAAACCUCCUGUGGAGCAGAAGGGCAAAAGCUUGCCUGAUCUUGAUUUUCAGUACGAAUACAAACCGUGAAAGCGGGGCCUCACGAUCCUUCUGACCUUUUGGGUUUUAAGCAAGAG